UACGGGGGGAGCAAGCGUUGUUCGGAUUUACUGGGCGUAAAGGGCGCGUAGGCGGUCAGCACAAGUCAGUUGUGAAAUCUCCGGGCUUAACUCGGAAAGGUCAACUGAUACUGUGCGACUAGAGUGCGGAAGGGGCAACUGGAAUUCUCGGUGUAGCGGUGAAAUGCGCAGAUAUCAGGAGGAACACCCGUGGCGAAAGCGGCUCUCUGGGACGGUACUGACGCUGAGACGCGAAAGCGUGGGGAGCAAACAGG
rnacentral:rRNA from 1 species